ACAACAUUUCUUUCCAUUUCAUGAUAAUAACAGCCUUUGCAGGAUUUGUAGCCGUCAUUGUCCUUGCUGGAAUAAUCAUGAGGAAAUGUCAUCUCAGCAGGAGAACACAGCAGAAAGCAGGGAACACCUUUAAAGAGGAGGAGCAACAGGACAUUGAGCCC